rnacentral:rRNA from 1 species
UACAGAGGGUGAGCGUAGUCGUAUUGAUUGGUGCGUAAAGCGUGCGUAGGCGGUGUCUUAAGUUUGUUGUGAAAUCUCCCGGCUUAACCGGGAGGGUGCGGCGAAUACUGAGAUGCUGGAGUGCCGGAGAGGUAAGCGGAAUUCCUGGUGUAGCGGUGAAAUGCGUAGAUAUCAGGAGGAACACCUGCGGUGUAGACGGCUUACUGGACGGUAACUGACGCUGAGGCACGAAAGCGUGGGUAGCAAACAGG